rnacentral:misc_RNA from 1 species
GAUGAAGAACGUAGCGAAAUGCGAUACUUGGUGUGAAUUGCAGAAUCCCGUGAACCAUCGAGUCUUUGAACGCAAGUUGCGCCCGAAGCCAUUAGGCCGAGGGCACGCCUGCCUGGGCGUCACACGUCGUUGCCCCCCCAUCUACUCCUUCGGGAUUGUGGGGGGCGGAUGAUGGCCUCCCGUGCGCCUCGUCGCGCGGUUGGCAUAAAUGCCAAGUCCUCGGCGACGCACGCCACGACAAUCGGUGGUUGCGAAACCUCGGUUGCCCGUCGUGUGCGGUCGUCGCGCAUCGAGGGCUCGAAAAAAUUGCCGGGCUCCGGCUCGACUUUCAACGCGACCCCAGGUCAGGCGGGGUUACCCGCUGAAUUUAAGCAUAUCAAUAAGCGGAGGA